rnacentral:rRNA from 1 species
UACGUAGGCGGCCCUAUAAGUCAGAUGUGAAAGCCCGGGGCUUAACCCCGGAAGUGCAUUUGAAACUAUGGGGCUUGAGUAUGGGAGAGGGAAGUGGAAUUCCUGGUGUAGAGGUGAAAUUCGUAGAUAUCAGGAGGAACACCGGUGGCGAAGGCGACUUCCUGGACCAAUACUGACGCUGAGGUGCGAAGGCGUGGGGAGCAAACA